rnacentral:rRNA from 1 species
AAUGAACGCUGGCGGCGCGCCUAAUACAUGCAAGUCGAGCGAGAAGACGUAGCAAUACGUUUGUAAAGCGGCGAACGGGUGAGGAAUACAUGGGUAACCUACCCUAGAGUGGGGAAUAACUAGCCGAAAGGUUAGCUAAUACCGCGUACGCUCCUUGGACUUCGGUUCAGGGAGGAAAGCGAUGCCGAGGGUAUCGCGCUCUUGGAUGGGCUCAUGUCCUAUCAGCUUGUUGGGAGGUGACGGCUCACCAAGGCUUCGACGGGUAGCUGGUCUGAGAGGACGAUCAGCCACACUGGGCACUGCGACACGGGCCAGACUCCUACGGGAGCAGCAGUAAGGAUAUUGCGCAAUGGGCAAAGCCUGACGCAGCGACGCCGCGUGGGGGAUGAAGGUCUU